rnacentral:rRNA from 1 species
UACGUAGGGUGCAAGCGUUGUCCGGAAUUAUUGGGCGUAAAGAGCUCGUAGGCGGUUUGUCGCGUCUGCUGUGAAAACUGGAGGCUCAACCUCCAGCCUGCAGUGGGUACGGGCAGACUAGAGUGCGGUAGGGGAGAUUGGAAUUCCUGGUGUAGCGGUGGAAUGCGCAGAUAUCAGGAGGAACACCAAUUGCGAAGGCAGCUCGCUGGGACGUAACUGACGCUGAGACGCGAAAGCGUGGGGAGCAAACAGG